GCUCCAAUAGCGUAUAUUAAUGUUGUUGCAGUUAAAAAGCUCGUAGUUGGAUUUCUGGUCGGACCGCCUGGGCGGCUCCGCAAGGGGCCGUAUCUUGGGUGUCUUCGGCCAUCCUCAGGGGGACGUGCGGUGGUAUUGAUUUAUCGUCGCGGGAACGCCUGUCGUUUACUGUGAACAAUUAGAGUGUUCAAAGCAAGGUG
rnacentral:rRNA from 1 species